CCUGUGUUAUGGCGUACAGUGGGCUUCGUCGGUGUUGCUGAGAGUCCCUGCUGGCUAGACCGGGUUUUGUGUACUAUCGCCUGGCUGCGCGCUGCAUUCAAAGGCUCCCGGGAGACCCUAAAGCCACACAAUGGUGACGUUGUAGGACGGGAGCCGGGGAUGGGACGAAAUCGGGUGUGUUCUGGAGGGAAGUGGUCGGAAACGGCUGUGGCAGUGCACAGCCUCCCUGCUCAGCUCCAGACGCCGAGGUCUCCCUGGUCCUUGGUGCUACGUCGUCAUUCGUAACAUUUCCUCCUUUACAGGGACAGUGCUAGGUCCCCAGUGCACAGUGCUAGCUCGCACACUGCCAGCCUAGGAUGUCUUCUUGGAUGGCCCCGGCACAGCUGUGUCUGCACCACUCGGCAGGGAGCAAGAGAUUUGGGCAAACCAUCACUGUAGUUUUUCACGUGAUUCCUCCACUUGCAGUGAUGUUACUGAAGGAACAAGGUUCUUGGUCUCACAGCAUUGAAGAAUGAGGUUGCAACCAAAGGAAAAAAUGUUAGCAGAGAGUUUAUUGGAAGUAGGAAUACUACUAGCGCGCUGAUUCUGGAAGUGUCCCAAGUGUCCAGGCUGACAAGCAGCUGGUGCCCCUGGGAGACGCUUGGUGCAGCCUGGGGCAUCCCUGAAACUCUCCUGCAUGAAUUCAGGAUUCACUGUCAGAAGCUGUGCCAUAAGCUGGAUCCAAAGGCUCCAGGGAAGGGCCUAGAGUGGAUCUCAUACAUAGGUGCUGGUGGUAGCACAUACUAUGCAGACUCUGUGAAGGGCUGAUUCACCAUCUCCAGAGACAACGGCAAGAACAUGCUGUAUCGAUAGAUGAGCAGCCUGAAACGGAGGAACACAGCCCUGUAUUAGUGUCCAUGACACACAGUGAAGGAACAUUUGUGUGAGCCCAGAAGAAACCUCCUGGAAACAGGGCUUAUGCCCAGCAGACGUCGCUGUAAUGUGAGAGAAUCACGUGCAUGCCCCAGAAGCAGGAGCUGAGAAGAAAGCAGGGGAGGGAGCUCUUCCUGGGGACUCUGGGGUUCUCUUCUGUUUUAACAUUUUAGUUCCUGAACCAACCCACAUUGAAGUACCAAAGUUCAAGGAAAAAUUCUCUGUUAAAUGUAAUUGCAUGAGUACAUAAGGAACAAUGAUUUUUUUCAUUUUCUGUGUAUGAAUUGUACUUAUGGGUAAACAAAACUUGCACCCAUCUCAAAGUAACUUGUGCAUUUUGUGAAGUUAAUUUUGUUUUCAGUGUCAAAUCCUCACCAUCUAAAGUGGGUCUGUUGGUUUAGUUUGGGUGAUGAAGAACUGUCUCACGCAGUAAUAAAUGCUUCAAAUUAGGAAAUUAAAUCCUUCUCAUCUCUGUCUGUGGGGUCUCAGAUCACACAGCUCCCUCCCCUCUUUGGCCACCUCAGGAGACCUGGUCCCCAGGCUCAGCCCCAGCACCAUGAGGAACCCUGAGCUCAGGGGAGCAGUGAGAGGGGCAGCCUGACUGGACUCAGGGCACUGUCUAUGGACCUAGAUGUGCUCUUUCUAGACUAGAGGGCUGAGUAGGACUUGGUCCUGUGCCUUUCUUUUGCACCUUACAAAUUAAAAAAUUGAUAAAAUACAGCAAAACCAUCCUCUAUCUUAAUCUCCAUUUCUCUCUCUCUCUCUCUUAACUUUUUAGGUUUUUUUUAUUUUAUUUUAAAAAAGAAAAAUAGAACAUUAAAGUGAAACAAAACAAAACAGUGUUAGGACACUGGGGAUUCACUGUUGUUACUGUAUUAGAUAAUCUCAUCCUCUAAUUAGUUGCUCAGGCUCCCUGUCCCAGGCUUGCAAAGUCGAUCAAAUAAUUUAAAUGUUGCUGCCUUAAUUUAGUUAGUAACAUCUUAGCCUGCACUCCGUCCCAUUGCUUAUGUGUGUGUUACUGGUGGGAGAAGGGGGAGGCUGCACAGCUUCCUUGCUGCUUCCCCCACCUGACAGGGCCUUGCCAACACAUGUGGUGUGGCGACUGCAAUGCUUCGUGCUAUUUUCCUCAUCCAACCACACCACCAACCCGGCUCUCUUAUUCUUGCUGGGUUCCUGAAUUCUCCCUCUCUGGAUUUCAACCCACGGAUCCGACCCUUCCCAUGUCUGUGGGCCCCACCUCUGUCAUCCUGCUCUCCCUCAUGUUGCUGUAGCCGAGGGUAUGGACAGCAGAUGAGAAGUGGAGGGUCUUCCUCUGCUGCUCACGGCUUCUCCGUUCUCCUGUUAGUGUCGUGGCUUUUUACUCAUUUCUCAGUUUUCAGUCUAUUGGGAAAACAAUGGAAAAUAAAUGAGGUGAAAAUCUCUA